GCCAGAAAUGGUCGCCCCCUUUGUGUUCGGUGUACAGGUGGUGCAUGGUUGUCGUCAGCUCGUGUCGUGAGAUGUUGGGUUAAGUCCCGCAACGAGCGCAACCCUCGUUCUAUGUUGCCGGCGCGUUAUGGCGGGGACUCAUAGGAGACUGCCGGGGUCAACUCGGAGGAAGGUGGGGAUGACGUCAAAUCAUCAUGCCCCUUAUGUCUUGGGCUUCACGCAUGCUACAAUGGCCGGUACAAAGGGCUGCGAUACCGUAAGGGGGAGCGAAUCCCAAAAAGCCGGUCUCAGUUCGGAUUGAGGUCUGCAACUCGACCUCAUGAAGUCGGAGUCGCUAGUAAUCGCAGAUCAGCA
rnacentral:rRNA from 1 species